rnacentral:rRNA from 1 species
GGGUUGUGAGGUUAAGCGACUAAGCGUACACGGUGGAUGCCCUGGCAGUCAGAGGCGAUGAAGGGCGUGCUAAUCUGCGAUAAGCGCCGGUAAGGUGAUAUGAACCGUUAUAACCGGCGAUACCCGAAUGGGGAAACCCAGUGUGAUUCGUCACACUAUCAUUAACUGAAUCCAUAGGUUAAUGAGGCGAACCGGGGGAACUGAAACAUCUAAGUACCCCGAGGAAAAGAAAUCAACCGAGAUUCCCCCAGUAGCGGCGAGCGAACGGGGAGGAGCCCAGAGCCUGAAUCAGCAUGUGUGUUAGUGGAAGCGUCUGGAAAGGCGCGCGAUACAGGGUGACAGCCCCGUACACAAAAGCGCAUGUGCUGUGAGCUCGAUGAGUAGGGCGGGACACGUGGUAUCCUGUCUGAAUAUGGGGGGACCAUCCUCCAAGGCUAAAUACUCCUGACUGACCGAUAGUGAACCAGUACCGUGAGGGAAAGGCGAAAAGAACCCCGGCGAGGGGAGUGAAAAAGAACCUGAAACCGUGUACGUACAAGCAGUGGGAGCACAGGUUUACCUGUGUGACUGCGUACCUUUUGUAUAAUGGGUCAGCGACUUAUAUUCUGUAGCAAGGUUAACCGAAUAGGGGAGCCGGAGGGAAACCGAGUCUUAAUUGGGCGUUAAGUUGCAGGGUAUAGACCCGAAACCCGGUGAUCUAGCCAUGGGCAGGUUGAAGGUUGGGUAACACUAACUGGAGGACCGAACCGACUAAUGUUGAAAAAUUAGCGGAUGACCUGUGGCUGGGGGUGAAAGGCCAAUCAAACCGGGAGAUAGCUGGUUCUCCCCGAAAGCUAUUUAGGUAGCGCCUCGUGAAUUCAUCUCCGGGGGUAGAGCACUGUUUCGGCUAGGGGGCCAUCCCGGCUUACCAACCCGAUGCAAACUGCGAAUACCGGAGAAUGUUAUCACGGGAGACACACGGCGGGUGCUAACGUCCGUCGUGAAGAGGGAAACAACCCAGACCGCCAGCUAAGGUCCCAAAGUCAUGGUUAAGUGGGAAACGAUGUGGGAAGGCCCAGACAGCCAGGAUGUUGGCUUAGAAGCAGCCAUCAUUUAAAGAAAGCGUAAUAGCUCACUGGUCGAGUCGGCCUGCGCGGAAGAUGUAACGGGGCUAAACCAUGCACCGAAGCUGCGGCAGCGACGCUUAUGCGUUGUUGGGUAGGGGAGCGUUCUGUAAGCCUGUGAAGGUGUGUCGUGAGGCAUGCUGGAGGUAUCAGAAGUGCGAAUGCUGACAUAAGUAACGAUAAAGCGGGUGAAAAGCCCGCUCGCCGGAAGACCAAGGGUUCCUGUCCAACGUUAAUCGGGGCAGGGUGAGUCGACCCCUAAGGCGAGGCCGAAAGGCGUAGUCGAUGGGAAACGGGUUAAUAUUCCCGUACUUGGUGUUACUGCGAAGGGGGGACGGAGAAGGCUAUGUUGGCCGGGCGACGGUUGUCCCGGUUUAAGCGUGUAGGUGUGUGUUCCAGGUAAAUCCGGUUCACUUUAACACUGAGGCGUGAUGACGAGGCACUACGGUGCUGAAGCAACAAAUGCCCUGCUUCCAGGAAAAGCCUCUAAGCAUCAGGUAACAUCAAAUCGUACCCCAAACCGACACAGGUGGUCAGGUAGAGAAUACCAAGGCGCUUGAGAGAACUCGGGUGAAGGAACUAGGCAAAAUGGUGCCGUAACUUCGGGAGAAGGCACGCUGAUAUGUAGGUGAAGUGAUUUACUCAUGGAGCUGAAAUCAGUCGAAGAUACCAGCUGGCUGCAACUGUUUAUUAAAAACACAGCACUGUGCAAACACGAAAGUGGACGUAUACGGUGUGACGCCUGCCCGGUGCCGGAAGGUUAAUUGAUGGGGUCAGCGCAAGCGAAGCUCCUGAUCGAAGCCCCGGUAAACGGCGGCCGUAACUAUAACGGUCCUAAGGUAGCGAAAUUCCUUGUCGGGUAAGUUCCGACCUGCACGAAUGGCGUAAUGAUGGCCAGGCUGUCUCCACCCGAGACUCAGUGAAAUUGAACUCGCUGUGAAGAUGCAGUGUACCCGCGGCAAGACGGAAAGACCCCGUGAACCUUUACUAUAGCUUGACACUGAACAUUGAGCCUUGAUGUGUAGGAUAGGUGGGAGGCUUUGAAGCGUGGACGCCAGUCUGCGUGGAGCCGACCUUGAAAUACCACCCUUUAAUGUUUGAUGUUCUAACGUGGACCCGUGAUCCGGGUUGCGGACAGUGUCUGGUGGGUAGUUUGACUGGGGCGGUCUCCUCCUAAAGAGUAACGGAGGAGCACGAAGGUUGGCUAAUCCUGGUCGGACAUCAGGAGGUUAGUGCAAUGGCAUAAGCCAGCUUGACUGCGAGCGUGACGGCGCGAGCAGGUGCGAAAGCAGGUCAUAGUGAUCCGGUGGUUCUGAAUGGAAGGGCCAUCGCUCAACGGAUAAAAGGUACUCCGGGGAUAACAGGCUGAUACCGCCCAAGAGUUCAUAUCGACGGCGGUGUUUGGCACCUCGAUGUCGGCUCAUCACAUCCUGGGGCUGAAGUAGGUCCCAAGGGUAUGGCUGUUCGCCAUUUAAAGUGGUACGCGAGCUGGGUUUAGAACGUCGUGAGACAGUUCGGUCCCUAUCUGCCGUGGGCGCUGGAGAACUGAGGGGGGGCUGCUCCUAGUACGAGAGGACCGGAGUGGACGCAUCACUGGUGUUCGGGUUGUCAUGCCAAUGGCACUGCCCGGUAGCUAAAUGCGGAAAAGAUAAGUGCUGAAAGCAUCUAAGCACGAAACUUGCCCCGAGAUGAGUUCUCCCUGAGACUUAGAGUCUCCUGAAGGAACGUUGAAGACGACGACGUUGAUAGGCCGGGUGUGUAAGCACAGCGAUGCGUUGAGCUAACCGGUACUAAUGAACCGUGAGGCUUAACCUUACAACGCCGAAG